AUGAACGCUGGCGGCGUGCCUAAUACAUGCAAGUCGAGCGAACAGACGAGGAGCUUGCUCCUCUGACGUUAGCGGCGGACGGGUGAGUAACACGUGGAUAACCUACCUAUAAGACUGGGACAACUUCGGGAAACCGGAGCUAAUACCGGAUAAUAUAUUGAACCGCAUGGUUCAAUAGUGAAAGACGGUUUUGCUGUCACUUAUAGAUGGAUCCGCGCCGCAUUAGCUAGUUGGUAAGGUAACGGCUUACCAAGGCAACGAUGCGUAGCCGACCUGAGAGGGUGAUCGGCCACACUGGAACUGAGACACGGUCCAGACUCCUACGGGAGGCAGCAGUAGGGAAUCUUCCGCAAUGGGCGAAAGCUUGACGGAGCAACGCCGCGUGAGUGAUGAAGGUCUUCGGAUCGUAAAACUCUGUUAUUAGGGAAGAACAAAUGUGUAAGUAACUAUGCACGUCUUGACGGUACCUAAUCAGAAAGCCACGGCUAACUACGUG
rnacentral:rRNA from 1 species